GGGCCCGCACAAGCGGUGGAGCAUGUGGUUUAAUUCGAUGAUACGCGAGGAACCUUACCAGGGCUUAAAUGUAGGUUGCAUAAGCUAGAGAUAGCUUUUUCUUCGGACUACUUACAAGGUGCUGCAUGGUUGUCGUCAGCUCGUGCCGUGAGGUGUCAGGUUAAGUCCUAUAACGAGCGCAACCCCUGUUGUUAGUUGCCAGCGAGUGAUGUCGGGAACUCUAACAAGACUGCCAGUGCAAACUGUGAGGAAGGUGGGGAUGACGUCAAAUCAUCACGGCCCUUACGUCCUGGGCUACACACGUGCUACAAUGGUAGGUACAGAGGGCAGCUACCCCGCGAGGGGAUGCGAAUCUUUAAAACCUAUCUCAGUUCGGAUCGGAGUCUGCAACUCGACUCCGUG
rnacentral:rRNA from 1 species